CUGGCUAUCAAGCCCUAAAAAUAUAGUUGGACUAGCUAGGUGUUUUUUUAAAAAAUAAUGAACUGAAGCAUCAAAAGAUGGUGCUCUUUUGUAAGAGUCCAGAAAAUCUGGUAGAGGGUGAAAGAGGAAAAUCUGAUUCUCUUCAGAGCCAGGAACCCUUCCUUAAGCAGAAAUUACUUUAUCAUAAUUAUUCCACCUGUCAAUGACACCAUGAAGGUGUAAUUGCUUGAUUUGGCCUAACAUGCUCUCUCCUGCACAAGUACUUGUGAGAGUGGAGCUUGGGAAAAGGGGGAUGAGAAGUGAAACUUGCUGAUAGCACUUUCCUAGAGUUUCCCCAAAUCAGUCCAAGGAAGGUAGCAGAUGGUGUGUGCCCCCUCCACCUUGGAAUAAGCAGGACCCAGAUCCAAACCCUGCAAAGAGACACAAAUGGCUUGCCUACGUCUGUUGCGGAGGGUACCCUGUAUGAAGAUGUUUUUUCAUCUAAGUACAAUAGCGUAAUGUAUUAACUAUGGCUGUGUCAUUAUAAUAGGCCUUAAUGUUUUUUGUAGUGAUUUGAAAACAUAAACUGAUUAAUACUCACAACAACUCUGUGAGAUGGAGCAUGCAUUUGUGGAAACAGAAAAAAACAUUAUUUGUGGUUGUCCGAAUCCUUGGCUGUGUCCAAGAAGCAUACACCACAGUUCAAGAGGGCCCAUGUUUGUGGGGUGCAGAGGUGGCUUAAUGCCAACCAUGCUGUGGCCAGUCCUCUAGAAUAAGCAUAUUUUGCCAAUGACCCCAAGAAGUUGAUAAGGCAGCUAGGAGACAGCAAGGAGGAGAGAUUUCCCAGCCACAUCUGUGUUCCCUGGCCAUGCGCCCUAUCCAGGCUAUCGGAAGGAUGAAUGAUAUAACACCACCAGAGGCUCUUCCUACAGUGGGGUGAACCUCCCUUGACCGUCUGUGCUGGAUUUCAGGUCACAGCACUGCCCAGGAUCUCAGUUGUGAUAGUCACUUGACUCUUUGCUCCCACUUACAUUUACACACAGAGAAACAUGAAAAUUUUGUGUCUAGUUUUUUCAUCCCUCACAUGAGUGGUUUUCCCAACACAAAGGGGAAAACACUUUGCAAUAAGAAGAUUUUGAUUUUGGAGUCUUCAGUAUGAUCCACAAAAAAGAAAACCAGAGUGGAAUGAUUCUCCCACUGUAUUAAGCAGGCAGUGAUUGGCCUUUGGGAAGCUCUCAGUAUAUCUUCUUAAAUGCCAGAGUGCACAGAAGAUUACAGGCCAAAAACUGAUGUAAAGGUUCAAGCAUUUCUCCAUGGGACUGAAAUACCUUUUAUCCUAGAAUUUUUCUUCACAUAAAGUUGCCCAAAUUACUUUUGGGAAUUCACUAAAACUGAAGCUUUCUCUUCUCCUUUGUAGCUUAAGCUAGCACUUGGCUGAAUUUCUCCUGACACUUCACCAGUAUUUCUCUGGCUUUAUUGAAAUUAACAUGAUUCUCAGUCACUUGACAGCAGUUGACUUAAUUUCUGUAGUGGGCUACAAAUAUGUAGUGUAUCCAGAAUCACAGUUUGUAUUUUUAGAUUUUUAUUUUAAAGGCCAAAGAUAAAGGUACUUUCUUUCUGGAGUUUGUACCUUAGGUGUAACAUGUUUAUUAUGCUGAAAACAAAACACAAAGGUAACAGUCUCUGAAUGAAGCAGGAAUUGUAUAAGGACUUCAAGGAUCACACUACAUAGAAUGUUAACUCAUGGAUUAAACAUGCAGACCAUUUACUAAGGACCCUAGACAGUUAAUCAACAAUGAUUUGCCCUAUUCACUUGAACUAUCUGGUUUCAACAG